rnacentral:rRNA from 1 species
GUCGAGCGGCAGCGACUUAACUGAACCUUCGGGGAACGUUAAGGGCGGCGAGCGGCGGACGGGUGAGUAAUGCCUGGGAAUAUGCCCUGAUGUGGGGGAUAACUAUUGGAAACGAUAGCUAAUACCGCAUAAUCUCUUCGGAGCAAAGAGGGGGACCUUCGGGCCUCUCGCGUCAGGAUUAGCCCAGGUGGGAUUAGCUUGUUGGUGAGGUAAUGGCUCACCAAGGCAACGAUCCCUAGCUGGUCUGAGAGGAUGAUCAGCCACACUGGAACUGAGACACGGUCCAGACUCCUACGGGAGGCAGCAGUGGGGAAUAUUGCACAAUGGGGGAAACCCUGAUGCAGCCAUGCCGCGUGUGUGAAGAAGGCCUUCGGGUUGUAAAGCACUUUCAGUAGGGAGGAAGGUAGUGUAGUUAACACCUGCAUUAUUUGACGUUACCUACAGAAGAAGCACCGGCUAACUCCGUGCCAGCAACCGCGGUAAUACGGAGGGUGCGAGCGUUAAUCGGAAUUACUGGGCGUAAAGCGCAUGCAGGCGGCCUGUUAAGUCAGAUGUGAAAGCCCGGGGCUUAACCUCGGAAUUGCAUUUGAAACUGGCAGGCUAGAGUCUUGUAGAGGGGGGUAGAAUUUCAGGUGUAGCGGUGAAAUGCGUAGAGAUCUGAAGGAAUACCAGUGGCGA